rnacentral:rRNA from 1 species
AUUGAACGCUGGCGGCAUGCUUUACACAUGCAAGUCGAACGGUAACAGGCCGCAAGGUGCUGACGAGUGGCGAACGGGUGAGUAAUGCAUCGGAACGUGCCCAGUCGUGGGGGAUAACGCAGCGAAAGCUGCGCUAAUACCGCAUACGAUCUAUGGAUGAAAGCGGGGGACCGAAAGGCCUCGCGCGAUUGGAGCGGCCGAUAUCAGAUUAGGUAGUUGGUGGGGUAAAGGCCCACCAAGCCGACGAUCUGUAGCUGGUCUGAGAGGACGACCAGCCACACUGGGACUGAGAAACGGCCCAGACUCCUACGGGAGGCAGCAGUGGGGAAUUUUGGACAAUGGGCGCAAGCCUGAUCCAGCAAUGCCGCGUGCAGGAUGAAGGCCUUCGGGUUGUAAACUGCUUUUGUACGGAGCGAAAAGGCUUCCACUAAUACUGGAGGCUCAUGACGGUACCGUAAGAAUAAGCACCGGCUAACUACGUGCCAGCCGCCGCCGUAAUAC